UACGGAGGGUGCGAGCGUUGUCCGGAAUCACUGGGCGUAAAGGGCGCGUAGGCGGCCUGAUAAGUAGGGGGUGAAAUCCUGCGGCUUAACCGCAGGGCUGCCUUCUAAACUGUCAGGCUGGAGCACAGUAGAGGCAGGUGGAAUUCCCGGUGUAGCGGUGGAAUGCGUAGAGAUCGGGAAGAACAUCAGUGGCGAAGGCGGCCUGCUGGGCUGUUGCUGACGCUGAGGAGCGAAAGCGUGGGGAGCGAACAGG
rnacentral:rRNA from 1 species